UACGUAGGGUGCGAGCGUUGUCCGGAAUUAUUGGGCGUAAAGAGCUUGUAGGCGGUUUGUCGCGUCUGCUGUGAAAUCUCAAGGCUCAACCUCGGGCCUGCAGUGGGUACGGGCAGACUAGAGUGCGGUAGGGGAGAUUGGAAUUCCUGGUGUAGCGGUGGAAUGCGCAGAUAUCAGGAGGAACACCGAUGGCGAAGGCAGAUCUCUGGGCCGUAACUGACGCUGAGGAGCGAAAGCGUGGGGAGCGAACAGG
rnacentral:rRNA from 1 species